rnacentral:rRNA from 1 species
CACGUAGGGGGCGAGCGUUGUCCGGAUUUAUUGGGCGUAAAGAGCUCGUAGGCGGCUUUGUCAGUCGGGUGUGAAACCUCCAGGCUCAACCUGGAGCCGCCACCCGAUACUGCAAUAGCUAGAGUCCGGUAGGGGAGCAUGGAACUCCUGGUGUAGCGGUGAAAUGCGCAGAUAUCAGGAAGAACACCAGUGGCGAAGGCGGUGCUCUGGGCCGGAACUGACGCUGAGGAGCGAAAGCGUGGGGAGCAAACAGG